rnacentral:tRNA from 1 species
CUCGGGGUAGGGCGCGAGGAGCAGACCCGUCGGGGCUUGCGGGGCCGUCUCGACGAGGCGGGCGAACGCGUCGUACCGUUCGGCGCCCCGAGU